AAGCGAGUAAGGGCACACGGUGGAUGCCUAGGCAUGUAGAGGCGAUGAAGGACGUGUAAAGCUGCGAUAAGCUGCGGGGAGCUGCACAAGAGCUGUGAUCCGUGGAUUUCCGAAUGGGGCAACCCAUCCGCCAAUGGCGGAUAUCCUUUCGAGGAGGCAUACCCGGGGAACUGAAACAUCUAAGUACCCGGAGGAAAGGACAUCAAUUGAGACUCCGUUAGUAGUGGCGAGCGAACGCGGAUGGGGCUAAACCGUAUGUGUGUGAUACCCGGCAGGGGUUGCAUGUGCGGUGUUGUGGGCCCCUC
rnacentral:rRNA from 1 species